rnacentral:rRNA from 1 species
AUGAAGACAGACCCAAAGCAUUGGGCUAGGGCUUUCUUUCCAAUAGGAGCAAAUUGUGAGUCAGUUGACAACAACCUUUGUGAAUCAUUUAACAAUGCCAUCAUAGAAGCUAGGUUCUACCCCAUUAUUUCACAGCAAGAAAAGAUUAGGAAAAAAAUGAUGGUUAGAGUUCAAGAGCAGAAAACCAAGAGUGAGAAGUGGAAUGGCAUAAUUUGCCCAAACAUCUUCAAGAAGAUUAAG